UCUUUCACACAACAAAAGGAAAACCUUAACAGUAUCUGCUCCAAGUGAGUGGCUUAAGGAAUUUUCCCUUUUAAUAACAUUGAGGAAGAAUCCAAAUUGAUUUUGCUUUCCUUAAAAGAGAACGGUGUGUGGAAUUAGGACUCACAAGAGAAACCAAGAGUAUAAAAGGAGAGGGUAUGGAUGUGUUUUGACAGUUGAAGAGGAAACUGUGAACCACUGUUAACACUCAGAUCUUCCUUCCCUUAUUCCUGCUCAUCGUCUGGCUUUUGGAGUCUAACUUGAAGGGCCUACUGAAACGGAAGCAGAAGUGUGAAAUAAGAUUUGAAGUUAUGUUCGAUCGCCUAGCUGGAAUUCAACAGCCAUUAAUGUGUAUCCUCUAGAAUCAGCCUUGGGAAAUAAUUGUGAUGCACAGAAGAAGACUGGGUCACAGAGCUCCUGUCCAACUUCAGAGCUUUUGGAAGCACAGUCUAUCAGUCAAGGAUGGAGACUCUGGAGAGGCUGGGUGAAGAAUGGGAACAUGACCUCCACGUAGGUUUUGGAGAAUUUUAGUCUUCUGUUUUCUUUUCUGCUAUAAAGUGAACGAAGAUCACUCACGCUGACCUACUGCCUGCUGGUAUUUGUAAUUUCUUCAUAAAGAAGUCUGAUUCUGUAAACCUACAUAGUUUGUGAGUAUGAAAAUGAGUAAUUAGUAUUCUAGAGCUGUUGAAUUAUUAGCAAAAUGAAAUACAAAUAAACAUGGUUCCUCAACCCA
rnacentral:lncRNA from 1 species